rnacentral:rRNA from 1 species
CGUUAGCGGCGGACGGGUGAGUAACACGUGGGUAACCUACCUAUAAGACUGGGAUAACUUCGGGAAACCGGAGCUAAUACCGGAUAAUAUUUCGAACCGCAUGGUUCGAUAGUGAAAGAUGGUUUUGCUAUCACUUAUAGAUGGACCCGCGCUGUAUUAGCUAGUUGGUAAGGUAACGGCUUACCAAGGCGACGAUACGUAGCCGACCUGAGAGGGUGAUCGGCCACACUGGAACUGAGACACGGUCCAGACUCCUACGGGAGGCAGCAGAC